GAUCAAGUCUUGGUAAGGGGAGGGGGAGAUGAGCAACACAACAGGAGAUAAGCUCGAUUUGUUCAUACUUCCACCGCUGGGGCUCUUCUGCAUCUUCGCCAUCUGCAAACGCGAGGAAAUUAACCAAAAACACGACAUGAGCUCGACGCAAACCUGCGGCGCCGACACACGCGUGCCCAUUUAAAAACCGGACGCGCUUUUCCUCUCCGGUUUACCGAGUUGAUAGCGUUCGGGAUGGGGAAGGAGGUGAACGGCGUCUCGCGGAGUCGCUUUGAGAUGUUCUCCAAUAAUGAUGAGGCUGUUAUCAACAAGAAGCUGCCAAAGGAGCUGUUGUUACGAAUCUUCUCAUUCCUGGAUGUUGUAACGCUCUGCCGCUGUGCACAAGUCUCCCGAUCAUGGAACCUGUUAGCCCUAGAUGGCAGUAACUGGCAACGCAUCGAUCUCUUUGACUUCCAGAGGGACAUUGAGGGCCGUGUGGUGGAAAACAUCUCAAAACGAUGUGGAGGCUUUCUGAGAAAGUUAAGUCUUCGAGGAUGUCUAGGAGUUGGAGACAGUGCGCUCAGAACGUUUGCUCAAAACUGCAGAAAUAUUGAGCUGCUCAGCCUCAACGGUUGCACGAAGAUAACUGACAGUACCUGUAACAGCUUGAGUAAAUUUUGUCCCAAACUGAAGCACUUGGAUCUCGCCUCCUGCACCUCUAUUACAAACCUGUCUCUCAAAGCACUAAGUGAGGGCUGUCCUCUGCUGGAGCAGUUGAACAUUUCGUGGUGUGACCAGGUGACCAAAGAUGGCAUACAGGCGCUUGUGAGAUGUUGUCCGGGUCUCAAAUGUUUGUUCCUCAAGGGCUGCACACAGUUAGAAGAUGAAGCUCUUAAGCAUAUUGGAGCACAUUGUCCAGAGCUGGUCACACUCAACUUACAGACGUGUUCACAGAUCACAGAUGAAGGUCUGAUAACCAUUUGUCGUGGAUGUCAUCGGCUGCAGUCGCUGUGUGUGUCGGGCUGUGCAAACAUCACAGACGCUAUUCUCAAUGCCCUGGGACAAAACUGCCCACGCCUCAGAAUAUUAGAAGUGGCACGCUGCUCUCAGCUUACAGAUGUCGGGUUCACAUCAUUAGCUCGGAAUUGUCAUGAAUUGGAGAAGAUGGAUUUAGAAGAGUGUGUACAGAUUACAGAUGGGACGCUUAUCCAGUUAUCUAUACACUGCCCUCGACUCCAGGUUUUGAGUUUGUCUCACUGCGAGCUGAUCACCGAUGAUGGGAUCAGACAGCUGGGCAGUGGUCCGUGUGCUCACGACCGUCUGGAGGUCAUCGAGCUGGAUAACUGUCCGCUCAUCACCGACGCUUCCUUAGAGCAUCUGAAGACCUGCCACAGCCUGGAUCGCAUCGAGCUGUACGACUGCCAGCAGAUCACCCGCGCCGGCAUUAAACGCUUGAGGGUGAGCCAAUAACUGCUGUCCUUCACUCAGAGGGAACACACUUUUACUCUUGUAUUACUGGAUUUUGAAAAUCACUAAAGACCCACUUACCCAACAUCAAAGUCCACGCCUACUUUGCACCCGUGACUCCGCCUCCAUCAGUGGGCGGAAGCCGUCAGAGAUUCUGUCGCUGCUGCAUCCUUCUAUGAUGUAAAAACAAGACUGCAUCUUGACCCCUCCCCCUGAUGUACCUGGAGCACAUGCUGAUGGAUCCCCAGUCAGAUCUAAUAAAAGUGAUGAUCAAACGCUCAUCAGCUUCAACCAACACUACAGUCCCUUCAAUGGCUUUACGAUACUCGGAUAUGGUAACUACUGUAAACGGAUUUUAGGGAGUGAGCAUGAAACUUACGGGAUAGAGCAUGAAUUAUGUGGCUCCUACUCGACACGACACCGUGGAUCGUGUAAAUCUGAUUCAAGAUCAUGCUGAAACGACCAGAGACCAUAUCAAAAGGAAACCAGCUUUUGGAGUUACGAUGGCAGCAACAAUUUGCCCCUAGUACACAAAUAUAACAAAAAUGGUGAACCCAGCUACACAAACAAACAUCUCUCACAAACACACUUUCUCUCUCUCUGUCUCUCUUUCUCUUUGUUUUACUCUGUGGCUAAAGCAAAGACUGAAUAUUUUUAAAGCAUGAUACUCUUCCAGGUUUUGCUUUUAUUCUGUCUUUUCCUCAAACUCUCUCUUUAUUAAGAGGUGAAAGCUAUUUAGUCGGCUAAUGGAGGUGAGGGGUAAGGUUAAGGACCUUGGCUGCUAAGGGAGCCGGUUCAUGUCUGGAUGAUCCAGAUAAAGGUGUUACGCUCUUAUGCACAUAAGAAAGUCUUUGGGUUGUAAGAAUGUAAAUAAGCCAAGAGGGAGAAAUGUGAGCUAUAUUUUCAACUGAUGAUCGAAUGUCAUCCUUGCAUUCAUGAGAGGUCACGUGGCUCACAUCGCAUUGUUCGAUGAAGUGCGUGCGUGUAAAAUGCAUCCGUCGCUGAUAACAUCGCAGACAACGGUUAAGUAUUUAGGAUUUGUUCAUUUCUCUACGCCAUUUGAUUGUAAUGAUGCAUUCACACCAGCCGCGGUAGAUGCAGCAAUAACGCGCUGUUCGCGCGUAGUUGCACGCUUUAUUCACGCGUGAAAUUCUAGUCAUCCGAGAGAUUCACGCGGAAAUGCGCGUCACUCCGCUAAGACUUUGCUCGCUGCCUGUAAUCACGUCACUACUACAGCAACGUCCUGAUUGGUUAACACCGGCACGGAAUCCGUCGAAGUUUUAAUUUUUCAACUUGCGCGUUUCCCGCGGCAACCUUCAAUUCAUGCGGAACACGUGAUCCAUGCCAUUUGCGCAUACUGUGCCGCAGGAUGCUUAAUCGCGUCUUUGCAUUGAGUUAAUGCUACGUACACACCAAAUGCGGGGCAUCGCGUUACUUGCUCUAGAUUAAUCGCGGGAUUUUACUUCGUGUCAUACAAAUUUUUUCAAUUGAGUUGAAUAUUUUCAACUUGGGCGAAGACGCGUUUUUGGCGAAAAGCGUGUGUUUUCGCGGCAAAAGCGCAGCCCAUAUCGCGUCAUUUGCAUUGGCCCAUGCGAAGACGCAUCUGAUCGCGUCUUUGCGUUAACUUUGAAUGUAAUCUACUCGCGCAAAACGUUGAACUCGCAUCUGGUGUGAACCCACAGUAACGUGUAAAUCACUCGCGCUUGCCGCCUCUACCGCAUCUUGUGUGAACCCUGCAUAAGGAAACUCAAAGCAAGUCGACCAUACUCAUCAGUGCACUCGCGUAUAACUCGACGAAAUCGGGUUUGUAAACGAAUCGCCAAUAAUAAUUAUACUUUAUAAACAAUGGACUGUCUCUUAGAUUAUAAAAACAAUCAAAAGCGUUUGUUUUAAAAUGUUUUGUUUGUUUGUGCUUGUUCUCAUCAUGAUCGUUGUCGUUUCCGUUUUGUUUUUCUUUUGAGUCGGUGACCAUUUAAGGCCACUUGUGAAACGUUAGCUUCGCUUUUUUGGUGAUUUUUUUUUUUGUAGGUUAGCUGAUGACCUUGAAAUCAAAUCUGUCACUGUUUAAGUUGCAAUAUUAGUAGAUUGUUUCGAUAGGGGUUUAUAGAAGUGCACACGCGACCUGGAGGCGAGUUGGUGGUGGUUCGUGGCAUAAACGAUUUUCAAAUCAUGUUACUUAUGUUGUAAGUCACUUUUACAUUAACUUAUAUUCAGUUUUUCCAAAGUCAAGUCAAGCACUCGCACGUGAUAUUCAUACACUUUGGACAGCUGUGAUAUGUGUUGACCACCGAUUUUAAUUUAACACGUCUUGUUUUUCCGUCAUACUUAGAUGAAAGUAUUUGAGCUGGUUAGAAUUGUACGCAAUAAAAUGUAUUUUGAAGUACGUUUUCUGUAUGUUGCAUAUUGCCUAUAGUACAAGACCUAUAGGUGUUGUUUUCUGUGAAGUUCUGUUGAGCUUGUACCUGUCUUGAGUUUUUUAUCUUUCAGUCGUCGGCUUUGUCCUCAGCACAUAAAAAGCUAAAUUUCAAUCAGAGACGUGUUUGUCCGGUCAAAAAUUGACCCUGACACAAUCACUUGUGUUUAAAGAUCAGCGUUUGUGUGUGUGUGAGGCACUAACCCUUCUGUUUAUCCGCUUUACUGGUGUUGAUUUUUUUGUGUCUGAUCUUUCGAAAUUAUCAUGACAUUUGCUGGUCCACAAGAUGCUCUGUUUUUCAAUACUAAAUAUUCAUGUUAUAUAACAGAUUCUUCUCCUCUUUAUUCCUAUAAGCAUGCUUGAUCUCUUACUGUGUGCAUAUAGGUCUAAAGUUUUAUCCUUUGAGUGCAAUGGGGUCCAAAAGUCUCAGACCACACUGAGAAUCUGGGAUUCAUAAUAUAAUUUAAAUGUGGAAUAUACAUUAUCCAAGUUUUGUGACUUUUCAAAAUUGAUGCAUUAAGGAAUGUUGCUAAGGUAAUAAGAAAAAAUGAUUUAGAAUUUUGUCAAUAUUUUUUCAACCCCUAGGGAGUUAGCUGACAUUGGCUUAACUUUGAACUCGCUUUUAUACGUUACAUUAUUACUACGUUCGCUAGUUCGGUUUAAUUUUAGCCGCUGUACUAUCCUACUUUUGUUGUCUCCUGAUUUUUUUGUGUUUUCUGCUGCUUUUAUUAAUGUAAAGCUGCUUUGAAGCAAUUAAACAAUUGUGAAGGUGCUAUAGACGGUUUCAGGAGUAACAACAUAAACAAGCGGCUGUCGUGGUCUGCACGUAACUUCCGGUAAACUCCGCUAAGAAUAAAUAACUACAAAGUUCUUUAAACAGUUUAUUUAUAUAACAAGCAAAAAACAACACAUAGAUUACCUAGGAAACCAAUUUUUUUUUUAUUUUUGAUGAGGCAUUUGUUCAAGAGAUCAGUUUAGCAACUAGUCAGACCAUUAAAAAAACGAAACCGGAAGUAAAGUUCGGAUCCAGACGUGUAUCGCGUCAGCGCACGUGCAUCCGAUGAAACGUCUAUAUAAAUAAAAUUUAAUUGAAUGUUAUGUUACGCAUGACUUGCUAUCAAAUGCUCAACGUUAAAGGGUACCUCGACUAUGAAGGCUAGAAUGCUUUAAUACUGUAUAUUUGCCUUCUACUACUAAAAUCCAUUGAUGGAAAAAAUGCAUUAAAUAUUUUUAAUAUGUAAUAUUAAUUUUAAGCUGCAGAGGCCGGCAUUAAGUUUCACGCAUAGUGCAUUUUUGGUUGUUGAUGGUCGUCAUGAAAUAUACUAUAAUAUCUACUAUAAUUUUCACGUAAUGGUGCGUACAUACCAAACGUGAAGCAUUGCGUUCCUUGCUCUAGAAAUUUUUUACUUGCGCAAAGACUUUGCGUCAUUCGCAUCGCUCCGUUCAAGUUCACAUCUAUUCGCGUCUCUGCAUUGAAUUUGUAUGUAAUCUACUCGUGCAAAUCGUUGAAUUCGCUUUUGGUGUGUACGCCCCACUCCCACCUUCUUACUUCUCAGAUUGUUUUUAUUUGAUCAUCUUUCAUUUGUAUGUUUUCUGUAUUGUUCAUCAUUUAUGUUACUCUCGGUUCGUAUUAAAAGGGCUGAACAGAAGACGUUGAUAUUUUUGUAUUUUUAAUUACAUGCAAGUUUGAAGACCACAUACCGCCUACUGUUUGUAUGCAUUUAUAACUCUCAUCUUGUAAAAUCAUUUUACAUUCUACUAACAUUAGACUUGUUUACUGCGCUGUAGCGGUAAUAGAACGGGUUUCGGUUGCAACCCUUUGACGUCAAAAUAUUUUUUAAGAGUUUAUUAAAAUUAUGACAUUUGCAGUUUUUCACAUUCAUAUAGCCAAUCCCAGUGUUGAUCUAUUAGGCCAUACAUGUGUUAUAGUUUGGUUACCCUUUAACUCAAUAGUCACACAACUAUCUGAGCAAGCCACGUUUAAUUUAAAGCCCUGUAUGUCAACAUUCGGGAGAAACAUCAGAGAUGAAGUUGACCUUAAAUAAAUUAAGAACUCAAGUCAUCUGUGCUAUUAAAAAGCUUCAUAUAAAAUAAUAAAUUUUUCUUGAUUUUACACACAUUUUCGUGUAAAGUUGAAUCUUAUAGCAGACAUCCCUUUUUUAAAUUUUAUUAAUUCAGAGAAAUGCAACUCUGUAUCACUUAUGAUAUCCCACAUUUGGACUCCACUGUACAUCUGAGCAAACCUGGAAAUAUUCGAUCACCUCCUUAUGCCAUGCUUAAUGUUUCAAGUUUCAGUUUUGCUAUACAACCGGUUUUAAAUCCUGUUUGAGGUUUUGGAAACAGGUGAGAUGGUGUCUCUUAAUUUAACCCUAUAGAGUACACCAUCAUGUUUAUCCAUCUUCAGAGCGUUUUGGUGGUUGUGCUUCAUCAAAUGUCAUGCAGGACACUUGCGAGACAAUUAUAAUGUUUGUUUUAAACACUAUAAUGUUGUGCAAGUAACUCAAAUGUUUUGUUGAAUCAAAUAUAAUAUUUUAUAGACUAAAUAACUGAUUACGUAAGGUUACACCAACAAACAGGAUUUUUAAAGGUCAGAUCAGGUACCUUUUAGGUAUUCGGUAAAAACUAGUUUACAGUAAUGUUUGUGAGUGUUAUUAUUAAAUUAUUCAUCAACAUACUCUUUAAGGCAACAACCACAUUUAGUUUUUUUCUUGCAACUGUUGUAUUCUGUGCAUGUGUUUAACAUUAACGUAUUCUUUACAUGUAUUUGCUGAAAUGUGUCGACCUGUGGCCAUUGCCCUUUGUUGUUGCAAACGGUUUUAUGAUUUUGAAUACUGCUGUCUGCAAAUAUUUAAGAGAACAAGUCAGCAAUACCCCAAAUAAUGUUUCUCAAUGCAGUCAUCUCUAUGUCCCUCUCUCUCUCUCUCUCUUUCUUUCUUUAUCUCUCUUUAUGAAUCAGUCAUACACAUUAACAUACACAAACAUGGAUCUGAGUGCUGUCACACCGCCCUCUCAAUCAACAUGGUUAUAUGUGCACCUGUUAUCAAUGAGUGUUUAUCAAACACGUGGAGUUUUUUUUGGGGUCAGAUUCUGAAUCACUGGCUGAACGUUUGAGAUGUUUAAAAUGAUCGAUCGGGCCCUGAGAACGUGAUUUUGGUCCAUGCGGAUUAAAACCUUCACAAAGAUUGUACUCGUAUGAAUUAUUGUACUUUUUAUUUUACAAUUAACCAAUAAAAAAUGAAUAUGGCAGAAUGAAUAAAUAUAUAACUAUAUUAUUAUUAA